rnacentral:rRNA from 1 species
GCUAGCUACAGGCUUAACACAUGCAAGUCGAGGGGCAUCAGGAAGAAAGCUUGCUUUCUUUGCUGGCGACCGGCGCACGGGUGAGUAACACGUAUCCAACCUGCCCUUUACUCGGGGAUAGCCUUUCGAAAGAAAGAUUAAUACCCGAUAGCAUAAUGAUUCCGCAUGGUUUCAUUAUUAAAGGAUUCCGGUAAAGGAUGGGGAUGCGUUCCAUUAGGUUGUUGGUGAGGUAACGGCCCACCAAGCCUUCGAUGGAUAGGGGUUCUGAGAGGAAGGUCCCCCACAUUGGAACUGAGACGCGGUCCAAACUCCUACGGGAGGCAGCAGUGAGGAAUAUUGGUCAAUGGGCGCUAGCCUGAACCAGCCAAGUAGCGUGAAGGAUGAAGGCUCUAUGGGUCGUAAACUUCUUUUAUAUAAGAAUAAAGUGCAGUAUGUAUACUGUUUUGUAUGUAUUAUAUGAAUAAGGAUCGGCUAACUCCGUGCCAGCAGCCGCGGUAAUACGGAGGAUCCGAGCGUUAUCCGGAUUUAUUGGGUUUAAAGGGAGCGUAGGUGGACUGGUAAGUCAGUUGUGAAAGUUUGCGGCUCAACCGUAAAAUUGCAGUUGAUACUGUCAGUCUUGAGUACAGUAGAGGUGGGCGGAAUUCGUGGUGUAGCGGUGAAAUGCUUAGAUAUCACGAAGAACUCCGAUUGCGAAGGCAGCUCACUGGACUGCAACUGACACUGAUGCUCGAAAGUGUGGGUAUCAAACAGGAUUAGAUACCCUGGUAGUCCACACAGUAAACGAUGAAUACUCGCUGUUUGCGAUAUACAGUAAGCGGCCAAGCGAAAGCAUUAAGUAUUCCACCUGGGGAGUACGCCGGCAACGGUGAAACUCAAAGGAAUUGACGGGGGCCCGCACAAGCGGAGGAACAUGUGGUUUAAUUCGAUGAUACGCGAGGAACCUUACCCGGGCUUAAAUUGCAGUGGAAUGAUGUGGAAACAUGUCAGUGAGCAAUCACCGCUGUGAAGGUGCUGCAUGGUUGUCGUCAGCUCGUGCCGUGAGGUGUCGGCUUAAGUGCCAUAACGAGCGCAACCCUUAUCUUUAGUUACUAACAGGUUAUGCUGAGGACUCUAGAGAGACUGCCGUCGUAAGAUGUGAGGAAGGUGGGGAUGACGUCAAAUCAGCACGGCCCUUACGUCCGGGGCUACACACGUGUUACAAUGGGGGGUACAGAAGGCAGCUAGCGGGUGACCGUAUGCUAAUCCCAAAAUCCUCUCUCAGUUCGGAUCGAAGUCUGCAACCCGACUUCGUGAAGCUGGAUUCGCUAGUAAUCGCGCAUCAGCCACGGCGCGGUGAAUACGUUCCCGGGCCUUGUACACACCGCCCGUCAAGCCAUGGGAGCCGGGGGUACCUGAAGUACGUAACCGCAAGGAUCGUCCUAGGGUAAAACUGGUGACUG